GGACACUCCCUUUUGGCUAGAUAACCCCCCACGGCCCAGAUCCCAAUGCAGCGUCCUGGGUGCCAGGGGGGCGCUGUUGCAAAUCCUCGUGUACUUGGCCAACAAUUGAGGGUAACACUGAACAAAUGGAGUUUCAACAAGUAUGUCUUUAGAAUCCAGUGUUUAUUAUAAUUGAUUAGAAAAUCUAGCUUACAUUCCAGAUGCAGUCAUUUUAUCACAGUCAAGGUGCAAUAGCAGUUAAAGGAAAACCAGCAUGAGUCAUGCCCCUAUAAAACUGUCUGCUUACAGAGUUUGGCUUUUGUCUAAACGAGGGAAACUCAAAGUCAGGCAGCAUAGGAAGGGGUUGUUCUGGCCUCCUACUGGAAGAAAUUAUUAUAAGAAAAGCAGGUCACGCGGGAUCUGCCCAAUGGCUCACUGACAUGGAAUGUGCGCGUUGAUUGAAUUCUUUCGUUGCCCAGCACCAUUUGAAAACCCUUCCAAUGUCGGGCAAUGUCCCACCUCCCCAUGCAGAAGCCAGAAAUGCUCCCUCAGAGCCUCCCACACAGCGGGGAGGAGGCACGUGAGGAGGGAUCUGACAACACACACACUGCCGAGGGCCAUUGAGGCGUGCGUGUGAGCUGCAAAGGAGCGGCUGUCGCUUGACUUCACUCUGGGGUGGCAGCCAAGAGGCAGCCAGUGUCUGGGGUGCCGUGGGCAUUGUGUGGCCACCCCCAUUGCACUGGAGCCUCUGGCCCCCCUGGAGAUGUUACCAACUCCCUGACAUCCUCUGAACCCUUCUUCAACCUCAUUCUCUUCAGCUAGUUAGAGUGGACUCUGUUGGUUAUGCCCAGCUGGGAUAAGCCCCUGACUUGGAUGACUAACGAAGACUGGGCCAAGAAUAAAGUCACAGAGGACUCCUUCCAUCUUCUCCCUCCGGCUGUGGCCUUGUUCCUGACUUCUUUAGAAUCAAUCAGCAAAAAUCCAAUGAUACAUCCAACUGUAAACUCCCAACGAAAUCUAGAAAUCAACUACCUGAAGAUACUGGAGAAUGAAAAAAAGCAGGCAGAUACUGGAGGGAAGUUGACACUUGGAAGAAAAGGACAUCACAGAGAAAUCCAAAAUAUAACAAGAUGUAGAGGAAAAAAUUGUAAAUUACCUCCUUAUCCCGAACUUCUAAUCCUACAGCAGUCCUGAGAGGAAGUUCCAGUUUUCAGUUGAAAGCAAAUCUUUCUUCACAUUUUUCUUCGUCUUUGCAUACGUAUGAACACGAACAGGAUGUAGAUACGUAAUCUAGUUCUGCAAUUUAAAAAGUGGAGCCUGAUUCUCCUCCCCUGGAACAGGCGUUGGCCUUAGUGUCUCACCUCUAACAAGCAGAAAGAAGGGACGGUGUGUGAUGUCCAGCUUGCACUUGGCUCUUUUUCUGUUGGGAUGCUUUCCCUUGGCACCCAGCCAUGUUGUGAGGAAGCCCAGGCCACGCGUAGAGGCCCAGCCUCAGUCCACAUGGAGAGGCCCACAUGGAGAAGAAACGAGUCAAAGCCCCCAGUCAACAGCCAGCACCAGCUGCCAGACGUGUGAGGGACCCAGCUCUUGAGCCCUCCAACUGAGGCCCCAACACCGGGAGCAAAGACUGGCCAUCUCCACUGUAUCCUGUCCCAACUCCUGCUCCAUAGACUCCACAAAGAGUUGUUUUACACCACUAAGUCUUGGGGUGAUUUAUUACGCA